CGCUAAUAUAUCGUAGAAUAGCUUUGAUUGGAGAUCGACUGAAAUUAGAAAACACCGUGUACGUCGUCUUUUUGUGGUUUGUUUACAUCCAAGAGCGCCUAGUAACAGUGACGCGAGAAAAGAUAAGCAGCGUCAGAACAAAAGUACGGUUUCAUAUUUCAAGGAGUGGCAAUCGAGAGGCCAGAGUAUGUGAGCCGAAAAGUGUGUGUGAGUGCAUUUGUGUGUGUGUGUGAGGACGAGAGCAAGAGCGAGCACGACCGAGCAGGAAUGCAUUGGCGAGGGUCAGAGUUGAUCGAGACGUCGAAGCAUAGAGUCGUUAGAAUUGAGUUGCGAGUGCUGUCGAGUGUCAGAGUUGCUAGUGAGAGAGAGAGAGAGAGAGAGAGAGAGAGAGAGAGAGUUACCAAAUAGUGGUCAAGUUAUUUGAUGUAAAUACGAGCGUUGCAUUUAGUAUUCCUGUUAAUCAAACAUCGUUUCUCUGUCUAACUAAUAUCUGUAUUUUCAAUCCAUUAUUAAUAAAUUAUAA